rnacentral:rRNA from 1 species
UGGGGAAUUUGGACAAUGGGCGAAAGCCUGAUCCAGCAAUGCCGCGUGUGUGAAGAAGGCCUUCGGGUUGUAAAGCACUUUUGUCCGGAAAGAAAUCCUUGGCUCUAAUACAGUCGGGGGAUGACGGUACCGGAAGAAUAAGCACCGGCUAACUACGUGCCAGCAGCCGCGGUAAUACGUAGGGUGCAAGCGUUAAUCGGAAUUACUGGGCGUAAAGCGUGCGCAGGCGGUUUGCUAAGACCGAUGUGAAAUCCCCGGGCUCAACCUGGGAACUGCAUUGGUGACUGGCAGGCUAGAGUAUGGCAGAGGGGGGUAGAAUUCCACGUGUAGCAGUGAAAUGCGUAGAGAUGUGGAGGAAUACCGAUGGCGAAGGCAGCCCCCUGGGCCAAUACUGACGCUCAUGCACGAAAAGCGUGGGGAGCAAAACAGGAUUAGAUACCCUGGUAGUCCACGCCCUAAAACGAUGUCAACUAGUUGUUGGGGAUUCAUUUCCUUAGUAACGUAGCUAACGCGUGAAGUUGACCGCCUGGGGAGUACGGUCGCAAGAUUAAAAACUCAAAUGAAUUGACGGGGUCAUAGCUGUUUCCU